UACAGAGGAGCCAAGCGUUGUUCGGAUUCAUUGGGCGUAAAGGGUGCGUAGGUGGCGCGCUAAGUCAGUUGUGAAAUUCCCCGGCUUAACCGGGUGGACUGCGAUUGAUACUGUUGAACUUGAAUGAGGUUGAGGUCGGCGGAAUGUGACAUGUAGCGGUGAAAUGCUUAGAUAUGUCAUAGAACACCGAUUGCGAAGGCAGCUGGCUAGACCUUUAUUGACGCUGAGGCACGAAAGCGUGGGGAGCAAACAGG
rnacentral:rRNA from 1 species